rnacentral:rRNA from 1 species
UGGGGAAUAUUGGACAAUGGGGGAAACCCUGAUCCAGCGACGCCGCGUGUGUGAAGAAGGCCUGCGGGUUGUAAAGCACUUUCGGUGGGAACGAAAUAUGCCGGGCUAAUACCCCGGUAGGCUGACGUUACUCAAUGAAGAAGCACCGGCUAACUCUGUGCCAGCAGCCGCGGUAAUACAGAGGGUGCGAGCGUUAAUCGGAAUUACUGGGCGUAAAGCGCACGUAGGUGGCGACGUAAGUCGGGUGUGAAAUCCCCGGGCUCAACCUGGGAACCGCCUUUGAUACUGUUAGUCUCGAGUCCGGAAGAGGUGAGUGGAAUUCCUAGUGUAGAGGUGAAAUUCGUAGAUAUUAGGAAGAACACCAGUGGCGAAGGCGGCUCACUGGUCCGGUACUGACGCUGAGGUGCGAAAGCGUGGGGAGCAAACAGGAUUAGAUACCCUCGUAGUCCCUGAGCGGGCUGGCAAGGCGCAU